AAGAAUGCCUCCCAGGAGACGGUCAAUGACUUCCGCCCAAUCACUUUGCUCAAUUGUUGCCUUAAGCUGAUCACCAAACUACUGGCCAAUCGUCUCCAAAAAAUCAUCUUGCAGAUAGUCCACCGUAAUCAGUACGGGUUCUUGCGUGGACGAUCCAUACAUGACUGCUUAGCGUGGGCCUUCGAGUAUAUUCACCAGUGUCAAGCCUCGCAAAAUGAGAUUAUCCUACUGAAACUUGAUUUUGCCAAAGCCUUUGACACUAUUCAACACUCGGCUAUGCUCCACAUUAUGAAAAAAGUGGGUCUCAAUGACAAAUGGCUCCACUGGAUGCAAAGUAUCUUCAAUUCUGGCAAAUCCUCAGUCAUUCUAAAUGGUACUCCAGGAAGUUCUUUCCUAUGCAAGUGCGGUGUGCGACAAGGUGACCCCCUCUCGCCUCUGAUAUUUGUUAUAGCUGCGGAUCUCCUUCAAUCUGCAAUCAACGAGGCUCUUCGGAAUAAUAUCCUGGACUUACCAAUCCAACGUGACACUAACGGGGAUUACCCAGUUAUCCAAUACGCGGAUGACACACUCAUCAUCCUGCCAGCUUGCACCCGACAACUCACCAAGAUUAAGGAAAUUCUG
rnacentral:rRNA from 1 species